GGGGUUUCCGGAAAUCGCGGUGACGCGGGGCGGGGUGGGCGCGGCAGCAUCGCGCGACCCUGAGAUCUACCUGCGCGAAGGGAUCUUCCCACCGAGCGAGCGGUACCUCUGAAAAUCCUCGAGCCGAUCCCAUCCUCAUUCUCCCACUUCCUGGCACCGGAGAGUUUUGAAAUCGGCCCCUUUGUGAAAGAGGCCCCUUAUCCUGUGGAUAGGAUGGCCCCCUUUUAUGCCCCACUCUCUUUCUACCUGGAGGAAUCAGGUUAAAAGGAGCUGCAAACGCUUCAAAAAGCAACGAGUGCCAUAAAAGCCAAUAGAGCUGUGUAGACAGCGUGUGUUGAAGAGGGAGCACUGGCCCCUUCCAGGAGCUCUGCGUGACAAGGAGGUUCUGCGGGGUCAGUGGUAGUGAGCCCUGUCAUAACUAGGUCUCAGGCCUCCAUUAUCGCCGCUCGGUCUGCGCUGCUUCUCUUGCUCUCCCAAUCAGAGCCUUGGUCCAGGAGCCAGCGGAGGAGUGUCCGCGGGUAUCAACUUCCUCUGAGCAUCUGGAUGGAAUUUUAGCAGUUUUGUAAACUGCCCUCAACUCUGGCAGAGUUUUGUACGUUUAGCCGGAAGUCAAUCUAUGUUUGUUGAAUUUACAAUAAAGGCAAGAAAGAGAACUUGUCAGGAAAUGGGAGGUAGAGACAUCUGACACUGGUGUGGGCAAGAUGAAGGCGAGGGAGUCAAAGAUGAAAAGGUUGGGGCCAGAGAACUUAAUUUGGACUUUUUUUCCGGCAGGCAUUAGGGAAUUUUUGGAGAGGAGUAAUACAAAUAGACUGUGCUUUAAAAAGAUUAAUCUUCCGUUCACACAUAGAGUGGAUCAGAAUGCGGGGCCAAGUGAGAGGCUGCCGAAAUUUUCCAUGUGAGAAGUAAUGCGAGUCCAAACAGGGGUGCUGUCUCUGAGGACAGAGAGAAAUGGAACAGAAGACAGUGGUUAUUAAGGGAGCCAUUCUUCCUGCUGCAAAAACCAGAUCAACCUGACAUGCGUCAAGGUUCUUUGGGAGGAAACGAGAAAGCAAGAGCC
rnacentral:lncRNA from 1 species